CACGUAGGGCGCAAGCGUUGUCCGGAAUUAUUGGGCGUAAAGAGCUCGUAGGCGGUCUGUUGCGUCCGCUGUGAAAACUCGGGGCUUAACCCCGAGCCUGCAGUGGAUACGGGCAGACUAGAGGUAGGUAGGGGAGAAUGGAAUUCCCGGUGUAGCGGUGAAAUGCGCAGAUAUCAGGAAGAACACCAACGGCGAAGGCAGCUCGCUAGGACGGUACUGACGCUGAGACGCGAAAGCGUGGGGAGCGAACAGG
rnacentral:rRNA from 1 species